GGUGCGUUGCCCGGAGACGGAAAGUUUGGGAGCCCGAGCGGGCUCUGCGGCGGCCCCGGGGAGGGGGCCCGGGGGGCGGCGGCGCUGGGGAUGGGGAAGGAGCAGGAGCUGCUGGAGGCGGCCCGCACCGGGCACCUCCCGGCUGUGGAGAAGCUGCUGUCCGGGAAGCGGCUCUCCUCGGGCUUCGGCGGCGGCGGCGGCUCCGGGGCCGGCGGCGGCAGCGGUGGCGGCUCCGGGGGCGGGGGCGGCCUCGGCUCCUCCAGUCACCCGCUCUCCAGUCUGCUCAGCAUGUGGAGAGGGCCAAACGUGAACUGCGUUGACAGCACUGGCUACACACCGCUGCACCACGCCGCUCUGAACGGCCACAAGGAUGUGGUUGAGGUUCUCCUGCGGAAUGACGCGCUGACCAACGUGGCUGAUUCUAAAGGCUGCUACCCGCUGCACUUGGCAGCCUGGAAAGGAGACGCUCAGAUAGUGCGCCUGCUCAUCCACCAGGGGCCCUCACACACCAGAGUCAACGAACAGAAUGCUCUUGAGAUCAAAGCACUCAAAAAGUACGGCCCCUUUGACCCUUAUAUCAAUGCCAAGAACAACGACAACGAGACGGCCCUGCAUUGUGCCGCGCAGUACGGCCACACGGAGGUGGUAAAGGUGCUCUUGGAGGAGCUCACAGACCCUACCAUGCGCAACAACAAGUUUGAGACCCCCCUGGACCUGGCCGCGCUCUAUGGGCGGCUGGAGGUGGUGAAGAUGCUGCUGAACGCCCACCCCAACCUCCUGAGCUGCAACACCAAGAAGCACACGCCUCUGCACCUGGCGGCACGCAACGGCCACAAGGCGGUGGUCCAGGUCCUCCUCAAUGCCGGCAUGGAUAGCAACUACCAGACGGAGAUGGGCAGUGCUUUGCAUGAGGCUGCUUUGUUUGGCAAGACCGAUGUGGUGCAAAUCCUGCUGGCCGCAGGAAUCGACGUCAACAUAAAAGACAACCACGGACUGACUGCCCUCGACACUGUGCGGGAGCUGCCUUCUCAGAAGAGCCAGCAGAUCGCUGCGCUUAUUGAAGAUCACAUGACUGGAAAAAGAAGUGCAAAAGAUGCAGAUACAACUUCCACAGCCCAGCCACCCCUCCUCUCCAGCGUGGACUCUGUAGCACAGAAGUGUCAGGGUGACGUGGAGAAAGCCGUGACUGAGCUGAUCAUCGACUUUGACCCCAGUGCUGAGGAGGAAGGACCCUAUGAGGCGCUGUACAAUGCUGUCUCCUGCCACUCGCUGGACAGCUCGGCCAGCGGGCGGUCGUCAGACCGAGAGUCCACGAGCAAGGAGGCCGAGGUGGUGGGCAUCAGGACUGCUGGAGUGAGGCCUAGGGAACGUCCGCCACCUCCAGCCAAGCCACCGCCUGACGAGGAGGAAGAAGAGCGCAUCGACAAGAAGUGUUUUCCCUUGACAGCUUCUGAGGUCCUGGCUGUGCGACCCAGGGCUCAGGGGAGUGCAGCCAAGGAGGAGGAGGAGCACCCUUACGAGCUGCUCCUAACAGCGGAGACAAAGAAGCUGGUGUCAGCGGACGGAAAAACAAAAGACCACAGGCAAAGCAGUGGCAGCCGGAGCCAGCACUCUGCGGAGGGGCAGGACGGGCAGGUCCCAGAGCAGUUCUCAGGUCUCCUCCACGGCUCCUCCCCGGUGUGCGAGGUGGGGCAGGACCCUUUCCAGCUGCUGUCUGCCACGGGCCAGAGCCAUCCAGACGGGACCCCGAAGCAGGGCGACGGCCACGGAGCCAGCAUGCAGCUGGAGGAGACGGGCGUGCACACUCCCGGGGUCUCCCAGCCUGGCAGCCUGGACCAGAGCAAGAGAGCAGGCUACCCAGCAGGCCUGCCCCCUGCCAACGGCCGAUCGCACCCCGAAACUUUGACUCACACUGCGCCCCCGCACCCUGCUGGUGCUGAGGAAGAAGGAGACCGGAGUGGGGCCAGAAGCCGGGCCCCUCCCACCAACAAACCCAAAGCGGAGCUCAAACUCAGCCGCAGUUUGUCCAAGUCUGACUCUGAUCUCCUGACCUGCUCACCCACGGAGGACGCUGCGAUGGGGAGCCGGAGCGAGUCUUUGUCCAGCUGUAGCAUCGGGAAGAAGAGGCUGGAGAAGUCGCCCUCCUUUGCCUCGGAGUGGGACGAGAUUGAGAAGAUCAUGAGCUCAAUUGGAGAGGGGAUCGACUUUUCUCAGGAACAGCAGAGGAUCUCAGGUUCUCGGACGCUGGAGCAGAGCGUCGGGGAGUGGCUGGAGUCCCUCGGGCUGCAGCAGUAUGAGAGCAAGCUGCUUCUCAAUGGCUUUGACGAUGUCCGCUUCCUGGGGCCUAACGUGAUGGAAGAGCAGGACCUGCGGGAGAUCGGCAUCAGUGACCCCCAGCACCGGUGGAAGCUGCUCCAGGCUGCACGCUCCCUCCCCAAGGUGAAGGCCCUGGGCUACGAUGGGCACAGUCCCUCGUCAGUGCCAUCCUGGCUGGACUCCCUGGGGCUGCAGGACUAUGUCCACUCCUUCCUGUCCAGCGGCUACAGCUCCAUUGACACUGUGAAGAACCUCUGGGAGCUGGAGCUGGUCAAUGUCCUGAAGGUCCACCUGCUGGGCCACCGCAAGCGCAUCAUUGCCUCCCUGGCAGACAGGCCCUACGAGGAGCCGCCACAGAAGCCACCACGGUUCUCCCAGCUGCGAUGCCAAGACCUGCUCUCCCAAACAUCAUCCCCCCUGAGCCAGAGCGACUCCUGCACAGGGCGCUCCGCAGACCUGCUGCUGCCUUCGGGGGACACAAGCAGGCGGCGGCUCGACGGCCUUCAGGAUGCCAUGGCCCCAUCUCGAGCCGAGCGCUUCCGAGUCCAGGAAGAGCCCCGCGAGGCCAAGCUGACCCUGCGGCCACCCAGCCUGGCCGCCCCCUACGCCCCUGUGCAGAGCUGGCAGCACCAGCCAGAGAAGCUCAUCUUCGAGUCCUGUGGAUACGAGGCCAACUACCUGGGCUCCAUGCUCAUCAAAGACCUGCGAGGGACAGAAUCCACGCAGGACGCCUGCGCCAAGAUGCGGAAAUCCACGGAGCACAUGAAGAAGAUCCCCACCAUCAUCCUGUCCAUCACGUACAAAGGUGUCAAAUUCAUCGACGCUUCCAACAAGAAUGUCAUCGCCGAGCAUGAGAUCCGGAACAUCUCCUGUGCAGCCCAGGACCCCGAGGACCUGUGUACCUUCGCCUACAUCACCAAGGACCUGCAGACCAGCCACCACUACUGCCACGUGUUCAGCACGGUGGACGUGAACCUGACAUACGAGAUCAUCCUGACGCUGGGCCAGGCCUUCGAGGUGGCCUACCAGCUGGCCUUGCAGGCCCAGAAGGCGCGGCCGGUGGGGGCCACUGUGGCCGAGAUGAUGGAGACCAAGGCUGCCAAGCCUGUGCCUAAGCCUCGGGUCGCCGUGAGGAAGUCCGCAGUGCCGCUGCCCCCCGAUAGUCGCUGUUGUUACUGUCACACCUGCACCACCCACCGUCCUUCCUACCUACCGCUGCCGUCUGUUAGUCCCGGAGUCAAGCUGGAGCCGCCCGACACGGACCAGGAGGUGCAGUCCCACGCCAGUGUCUCCUGGAUUGUGGACCCGAAGCCAGACUCCAAGCGGAGCCUCAACACCAAGUACGAGACCACUAUCUUCUAACGGGCCGCCCCGCUCCCAGCCUCACUGUGCCUUUGCCACUGGGCUCUGCUGUCUCAGCUCCGCCGGCAGCGGCUGCCGCCACCACAUUCACAGCUCUUUACCUACACCUCCGAACACUGUGACUCUCCCGGGCUGAGGACGGCGGGGGGCGAGUGGCCUUUAAGCUGAGCCACGAGGAACCACACGGCUGCGGAAACAAGAGGCAGGCGCAGGCUCGGCACCGUCCCCAGGCCUGCAGCACUGAAGACCGGGCCUGCCUGCCCGCGGGAGCUGCUCCGGGCACAGCCCAGGCCCUGGCGGAGGAGACUUGGGACCCCAGAAGGCCGAGACGGGACCUGUCCAGCAUACAUGUUUUUAGUAGAAAAGUUUUUAUAAAAUGAACUUUUAACACUUGGUUCAAACCGCUAGGUAAACUGCCAACCUUUAGACGACCACGGGGCAGAGGACGGGCACUGAGGUCGAUCACCAGGGAGGCCGCAGCCCCAUCCUCAGCGUAGGGUCCUCAGUGUGGUCCCCGCGUGGGAAGGAGCAGAGAGGAGCAGGUGUCUCCGGGGCACCUGACCAGAGCAGAGCCCGUGUCCGGGCUCCCCUGUGCAGACCUCUGCAGAGAACAGCAGGGGUUCUGGGGCCACAGCGGGCUGGAGUCAUGCUCUGCAGGCACCCUGGAGCGGGCUGCUGAGCCGCUCUGCUCUGCUCUGCAGCGAGGCCCUCGGGUGGCCGAGUCCGGGGAGAGGCCACCGUGUCCGGGGCGGGAAGGGGAAGCGCGGAAUGGCGGAGUUCCGCUCACCACCCUGUGACUUGUCCAGUGAGGUCUGUGUGACGAGGCUCGUUCUGAGUCUCUGCUGCUGGGCUCCGCCCUGGCUCAAGGUGUGGGAAAGGCUAGAUCGAUCGGGGACUGAUCCCCCUAAGCGUGGCCUUGACGGCAGGCUGGUGUCCUGGUAUCGGCCGGCACGGAACCCUUCCUGCCAGCCUGCUUUGCUUUCAGCCAUAACUUGGGCUUCCUUCUUGCCUCAAGGACAAAGGGGCUGGCCCUGCAGGGCAGUGAGGCCAAGCCGGGGUGGCCACUCGUUCCCCUGGGCUGCCCUGGCCCUGGCCCUGGGGGUCCCAGGAGGGCUCUUCUGGGUGCAGAGCCUUCCAGCCCCCUGGGCAGCCUUAGAGGAGGGCUUGGUGUCCAGCUGCCUGGAGUGGCUCACGCAGCGAGGUGGAGGCGGGUUGUCCUCCGAGCAUAGGUACUGACAGGCCCUGACACCACGAGGCUGCACUCUGCUGCCUGCCGCGCACGCCUUACAGGUCCCACAGGAGUCCCCAAGACGGGGCCGCUGGGCCAGCCACGAGGGCCCUCAGGGCGGCCGCGCCGGGCAGCUGCGAACACUACGGUGAGCCUCUCUCCGGGUCAGUCCUCACACCACACUAGGCGCCCCUUGAAGCUGCUGUAUCUUCUUAUUUAUUCAGGGUGUUUUCUUGUGGGAAAGCCGUGGCCAGUCUGCGCUGGCUCUGGCUCUCGUUUGAGACGGAGGCUGGUUUAUUUCUGAAUGUUCCAGGAGAAAAGGCAACUGGACCUCCUGUCGCGGGCUGGCUCUCCCACCCCUCCUGGAGGGCAGUGACCGCAGGGACAGGCCCGGGAAGGCCCCGCUCCGCACUGCUCUGAGUGCAGGCCACUCGGCGGGCACGGCGGCCACCCCGCUCCUGCCAGCUCUGCGUCGGCACUGCCCGCUGGGCCUGGGUCCCCCCAAGUGGCAGCGCCGGGCAGAGGACCUGCGCAGGCCACGGAGUUCGUGGCUCCUGUGUGGCGAUGGACUGAACUGUAAUAAAAUGUUAUUUAAUCUUUGUCUCUGUAUUUUGAUACUUGAAUGAGUCCCCUUUUGUUUUCUGUACAUACAACUGUUAAUCUGAUCUUGUCUGGAUUAUAAACAUCUGUGGUACCAAACAUAACCAACCUGUGCAACGACGUAGACUGACCUCACUCCACACGACCGUGUGAACCGUCCGGGCUUCCAGUGUGGUUCUGUUAUUUUCAUAACUGUACAACUUAAACCCAAUAAAUGGAAGCGAUAAGCCA